rnacentral:rRNA from 1 species
UUCCUCCGCCGGCGACAAAAGCACGGGUGAGUAACACGUAUGCAACCUGCCCUCGGCAGGGGGAUAAUCCGGAGAAAUCCGGUCGAAUACGCGCGUGGCACCCCUGAGGGGCAUCCCUUGGGGGUUAAGGGAAGCGAUUCCGGCCGAGGAUGGGCAUGCGUCGCAUUAGGCAGUUGGCGGUGUAGCGGACCACCAAACCGACGAUGCGUAGGGGUUCUGAGAGGAAGGUCCCCCACACUGGGGGUGAGACACGGACCAGACUCCUACGGGAGGCAGCAGUGAGGAAUAUUGGUCAAUGGGCGGAAGCC